AUGCGAGCAAAUUUGGCUACAGAGAGGCAUGCUGGGAAAAUAUACACUAGGGCUAUGUUUGAGCAAUUCAGACAAAUAUUGUAUGAGUGCAGUGCAUAUCAGGUUGAGGAAAUCGACAAAGGAAAAAAUUACAUUGCAAUACAUACCGAUGCAGCGCGGAGGGAAAAGUGGUGUAAAACGUCAUACAAGGUAUCGGUUAUGGAAGGAGGGGAUGAGUUUGACUGUGAGUGUGGUCAGUUUGCACACAUGGGCCUGCUCUGCAGCCACAUCCUAAAGGUAAUGGACUUCAUCCAUGUCACGGAGAUCCAAAAAAAGCACAUUCUGAAGUGGUGGACACGAGAUGCAAGAGAUAUCCUUCCAGCACACCUCACACAGUAC
rnacentral:rRNA from 1 species